UACGAAGGGGGCUAGCGUUACUCGGAAUGACUGGGCGUAAAGGGCGCGUAGGCGGUUUGUUUAGUUAGGCGUGAAAUUCCUGGGCUCAACCUGGGGGCUGCGCUUAAUACAGGCAGACUAGAGUGUGAAAGAGGGUCGUGGAAUUUCCGGUGUAGAGGUGAAAUUCGUAGAUAUUGGAAAGAACACCGGUGGCGAAGGCGGCGACCUGGUUCAUUACUGACGCUGAGGCGCGAAAGCGUGGGGAGCAAACAGG
rnacentral:rRNA from 1 species